CAUGGCAGACGGAGGAGCACUGGGAGGUCAUCUCAGCGUGACAGCCAGCACCCUGAAAGGGGAAUGCAGAGAAGUUUUGAUGAGGGACCGGAUGUGGAUAGAAAAAAUGAGAGAACAGGAGGAGGAAAGUGCCCUUUUAAUCUUGGCUUGGUAAGAAGCAAAUGUGACCUGAAGAGUUGAAUUUGGAGAUUUGGAUUCGACCGAGAUCCUGAUUCUAUCAUUAGCUAUAUGCCCUGGACAAAAGACAAAUCUCUGAGUCUCAGUUUCUUUCAUCUGUAAAAUAUAGGGAGGGAGAAGAUGAACAGGAAUGUGAGGAAAAGGCCACUGAAAUGUAUCAUGACUCACAGACACAGAGAAGGAAUCUGGAACAAGAAGGAAAAGAGGAGGUGUGACAAGAGGGGGAUUCAGACUUCUAUAGGCUGUCCCCCCACAAUCACAAAGUGGACAGCUGAAAUGAUGACCCUGGCAAGAUGUAGGCAGUUAAAAAUCCUCAAAAUCUUACAACUUUU